UACAUAAAAAGCCAGCUUUAAAAAGACUUUUUAUUCAUAAGCAUCUGAAAAUUUUCGACAAAGAAAAUGCCAGCAAACCAGAUCAACAAAAGAAUAUAAUUUGUCCAGCUUGAGAAAACAAUUCUCUUAUUUUUAUGUACACAAAAUAAAUAUUUCUCAACAGAAAUUGGAGGAAUGAACUUACCCUUCGGUCAUUCUUUGCAUGAGAUUGCCGAAGAAAGAACCUAUGGCAAAAUAUUAUUGCGGUAACAAUGGUUACCUGAGGAUUGCAUAAUAAAAACAAAACCCACAAAGGCAUGAAUAGUAGUUUGAGAUAACAGAAGAAUAAUCACUGAGGAUAGCUAGAGACAAAAAAAAGUAAACUGAAAAUUCUUAAUCUCUCUUUUAGAAAGAAGAAUAACGCGUGUUAACUAUUGGAUGUCCCCAAAGGAACAGCCUGGGUUAACACUGCCAAGAUUAUCACUUCUGAAAUUUUUCUGAAGAAACAUAAGGAUCUCUGAAGAAAAGCAACAUAAGGAUCUUUGAAGAAACAUAGAAAGAAACAUAAGGAUCUUUGAAGAAAAGCACUUGCUAUGGCAAGAACGUUUGAGUUGAGAUCUAUGUAAUUUGAUUAUGCAAUAGAAUGAUUAACCUGAAAGAAACUAGAAACGGACGAAAUGAGUAUGAAAUAGGGAGAGAUUUGCAAUGCAGUUAUUGUAUCUGUUGUCCAUCAUUCUGAUGGAAGGUAAAGCUUGUUUAUGUACUUGGUUGUUUUUAUUGCAAAACUUCUUCCCUAGAAAUGUUGUUGUCCUCUAUUCUGAUGGAAAUCAAAGAUUGUUCUUUACCUUAUUGUACUUUAAUAUGAAAUACCUUACUAGAAAUGUUAUUUCAGGGAACAAAUGGUAAGUUUGUUUUUGAUAUCAUACAACUAGAAGAUUUGUUGGUUUA